UACGGGGGGUGCAAGCGUUGUUCGGAAUUAUUGGGCGUAAAGAGCGUGUAGGCGGUUUGUUAAGUCUGAUGUGAAAGCCCUGGGCUCAACCCAGGAAGUGCAUUGGAAACUGGCAGACUUGAAUACGGGAGAGGGCAGUGGAAUUCCUAGUGUAGGAGUGAAAUCCGUAGAUAUUAGGAGGAACACCGGUGGCGAAGGCGGCUACCUGGACCGAUAUUGACGCUGAGACGCGAAAGCGUGGGGAGCAAACAGG
rnacentral:rRNA from 1 species